AGAGGAUUUUCCGGUUGUGCUUGAGUGGAGUAAUUGUCACCGCUUCAAAAGGUAUGUACAUUUCUAAAUCUCAAUUUUCUUAUUCAACUGAUCAAAAUAUUGAAAAUCAGAGAAUGCUAUGCUGUGGUGAAUACUUUAACGAAGAAAUACAUAUAUCAUUUACUGUUGUACGUAGAGUUGAACUCUUACAAAAACAGUUGCCUCACGAGAAAUUGCCUAAAAAAGUGACAUUUCAAUUUUGAAAUGGUUCUAUUUACAGACCUACAAGUUCAAAUUUAGUUUUUUUUAGGGCAAUGGGUAUGAAUGUUGUUUUUGGCGGCGUGUACGCUGUCCGGGAUUGUCAGACGUCUUAAUUAUUUCAAAAACUACAUUUUUUCAUUAAGUCAUGCGUGAGGGGAUCGGUUCUGAUUGAGGACAUCGUGAAUGCGUGAGGGGAAGUACAAAUCAUAUCUUUAUAUUCAAGCUAUGAGUCGUUGAAACUUACCUAAAUAAGGCUACAUUGUUCAUGAAAAAACACAUAAUGUGUGCUAAAAAAAUCACUGAGAUUGAUAUUGAAAUAAAUUGUUGGAACCUAGGGUUUAAUAAUAUGUUUCACGAAGAAUAAAAACAAAAAAUGUUGUCAACG
rnacentral:lncRNA from 1 species